rnacentral:lncRNA from 10 species
AUCCCAGGCGGUGACAGAGUGGAGCCAUGGCUAGAGGGCUUCCUACCGGUCAAGUACAGCCCUUCUGGGUUUGACACCUGGCCCCAUCACUUCCUAGUUCUGUGGCCCGGGACAAACCCCUGCACAUCCCUUGAGUCACAGUGUCACCAUUGUAAGCUGGGAUGCCGACAGGACCUGCCCCCGUGGGCGUGCGGGGAGGAUUCAAUGCCUGUGAAACUCUCGGUGGGCACAGCGCCGGGCACACCCGAGGGCCUGGCCUGGCGCGUUCACCGCUGCUGAUUUCGUCUGGCACAGACCGGGUUCCCAAAAUAUCCGCAGAGCCAGCGGAAAAAGGAGCCGGGCGGGCUGGCGG